GGUUCCAUAAGUCUUCUCUUCUCCUCUUUCUUAACCGGCAGGCUAGCCAGAGCCUUGGUCAGGCCUGGGUGGGGGCUGGGUCCUUCUAGGGCCAUGCAGCGGGGAGAGGUGAAACAGAAGCCACCAGUGAGGGGGAGAAGCAGGCUGUGGCCAGCCCAGCACCCACCACUCACAUAGACGUAGUGUCUUGUCUCAUCACCCCCUGCACGAUUAGACCCAUGGGAUCCUGAGAGCCUAGCCAGUGACUCAGCAGGAAUCACCCCAGACAGGAGCCAGUGCCCCAGUGCCCAGACCAGAAACCACCCCUGACCUGUCCGGCUGGACAGGAACAGAGACCAUGUGGGUGGAAAAGCCCUCAGACUAGGGUAGCUGGAGGGAGGUGGUAUGGGAAGACCACCCCCCCCCCCAAAGAAAAUCCAAAUGUAGCUCUCAGCCACUUGCCCCCGAUGGUGCCCCUGGGGUUCUGGAUCAUAGUUUUAGGAGGGGGUUCUUGGCUGUUCCACCAGGUUUUGAGGCCUUGAGGCUCAUCCUGGCUUUGCUGGGUCGUGUUGGGUUGCCAUGGUGUAUCAUGUCCAGUCCACUGCGUUGUUCCUGUUCUGUCAUGUGUUCUGGUCUGUUCUAGAGCCUUCCAUUCCUUUCUCUUCUAUUGUGUCUCUUUAUGUAUUCAUUCAACAGAUAUUUAUUGAGAACCUGUUCUGUGCCUGGCAGUGUUCUAGGCGCUAGAGUUACAACUUGGCAGAAAGCAGUUUCCGUGCCCCAGGGGAUUCACAGGGAGACUGGCAACAAAGAAAAGAACACCACCAGGUAGCGGUGAGAGUGGUGGAGAAGAAAAGUGCCCAGAGACCUAGAAUAGAGCUCCAAGGGGAGGGGUGGGCUACUUUCAGCGGUGGGUGGAGUGGGGUCAGGAGUGGCCUCACUGCGAAAGUGACGUUUGAGCAGAGACAGAAAGCAGGAGUUAUUCCCUCUGGGGAAGGAAAUAACACCGACCUAAUGCUAGCCAUAAGCGGUGAGAGCCCGUCCCUUUCCCGAGCCUUUACAGAACUAGCUCAUUCCUCCUUGACCCAGCCGUUAUGGUCCCCAUUGCACAGAUGGGGAAAUGGGGCCGUGCAGUUAUCUGAGGGUCAGGAAUAGCAUUCCGGGCAGAGGGAACAGCAAGUGCAAAGGCCCUGAGGCAGGAAUGUGCCUGAUGUGUUCAAAGAACAGCCAGGAGGCCAGUGUGGCUAGAGCAGAUCCCAAGGGGGACAAGGGGCUGGUCUUUAGUGUAUUUUGAGCAACUUAAGGAUUUCUGAGAAUGUUGUGGCCUUUACACCACAUAGAGCAGCAAACCCCACCACCUGAAAUGAAUCUGCAAGCAUUUGGGUCCAGGCCCUCCCUGGGUAGGGCUUGAUCUUGCCAAACGGCCUUCUCACUGCCUUCUGGAGCUGGGCCGGCUGUAAUAGGGCCUGGGACUGGCCCAUUCAUUCCUUCAUGCUUUCAUUCAUGUGUUCAUUCGUUCCACCAACAUCUACGGAGCUGGAACAGUGAGGAACAAGACAGACACCAUCGCUGCCCACAGGGAGCUAGAAACCCAGCAGAGAAAGCCCAGGUGGAGGAUCCCAGAAAGCCUGGUGGAGAAGUCAUGUCCCAGACAGCAGGGUUGGCAGAGGUUUACAGAGCCGGCCAGGGUCCAGGCACCUCAACUGUUCCUAGGAGAGGCCCCAGAGGUGAGGAUUUCCAGGCCAAGCGGAGGCUUGUCUAGGCCAAAACCCAAAGCCCAAGGCCCUUGAUGAAUCACACGGUGCUUCCCAGGCCUUCCUUGGGGCCCCGGGGUACUGGGGCUCCAGGGCCGCAGGCCCAAUACGGCCACCCCCCACCCCGCUCUCCACCGCGUCCCAUCACGCUCUCAGACCCAGCCACACCACGUAAAGCUACGACACACUCUCCCUUCCACCAAACCCCCCUUGAUAGGACUGCCUUUCCCUGCUCUUUCCAAUUCUAACAUGCUUUAUAAAUACAGAUGCACCCUGUCUCCCCUCCACAGACGUCAGCUUCCUAAGGACAGGGCCGUUUUUGGUUUUUGUUUUCUGCUCUGUUCCAAGUUGUACCCUAAACCAGUAGGUGCUUAAUAAGCAUUUGUGGAAUGCGUGAAUGGAUCCUCACCCAGCUCCGAGAAGUAGGUGCUCUUGUUAUUACAAUAUAUGAAGCAGGAAAGUGAAAUUGAGCAAGGUGGUGAGUUGGUGAGUUGCCCAAGAACUCAGACAGCUGGAGAGGGGGGAAAUCAGGGCCAUAAUAACAGUAAUAACCUCAGCUAAGACAUAUCGAGUACCUACUAUGUGCCAGGCACCGUGGUGGGUGUUGGAAUGGAAACGGAAGAAAAAAGCCAGGCACAUAGUAAGUGCUUUAUAUGGAUACUCUUGGAAUCCUCAGGGGGACUCUCUGUAGAGGGGACUGUUGUACCCAUUUCACAGAUGAGGAAACCGAGGCUCAGAGGGAUUAAAUAACAGGUCUCUAAUAAUAUCAGCUAUAAGAACAAGCCUGGCUUACUGAGCUGUGUUCUAGAUACUGGCUUUACAUCCAGGAUCUCUCACCGUUACCUUCUUCUAUUGUAUUUUACAGCAAAGAAACCAAGCUUCCGAGAAGCAGCUUAGUGUCUGUAGUGAGAUGGAAUGAGGCAGCUUGAACUCAUUUCCCAAGUUCUUCUGUCCCAGGACAUGCCUGGCACUGGGAGGUGGACAGGCCCACCUACAGGAGCCCAUUGCACGUUUGGUGCCUCAAAGCCAGAUGACCCUCCCUGGAACGUUGGUUUCCCCAAGUCUCUGAAGGGUCUGGGGCUCAUGCUGUCCCUCCUCUCCACCCCCUCAUCCCCCAGCAUGGAACUGGCAGGUGGCUUCCUUCCCAUUCACACUUGGGACUGUCACUGUCUCCGGGCGGGGGGUGGGGCGGGGGAAGGAGGCUGGAGAGAGGUAGUGGCAACUCGGCUGUGUGACGUCAGGCAUGCUGCUGUGCCUCUCUGAGCUGCCAGCCUCUCCUGACUCCAUGGAAUCACGGCUUGCUGUGAAGGCCCUGGGCUGGGAUCUGGAGCCAGGGUCUGGGACUACUCACAGAAGGCCUGGCACCUGAAAGCACCCUCUUUCUGCCUGGAAGGACCAGGGGGAGGCACAGAGCCACCUGCACCCCUGCCCCAGACCUAUUUCUUCUCCCCACUCUGUCCCCUGGGAGUGGUCUGCAAGCCCCCAAGAGAUGGGGCCCAGUCCUGCCCCCUUGUCCCACCUGGCCUAUCCUGGCCUGCCUUUUAUCACCAGGAAAGAAGAGUGAGUAACGAGGAGGCCACCUUCUCCAGGCCCCCAGAGGCCCUUAUCGGUACCUCUCUUGAAUCCACUCCACACUCCCCCUUCUACUGCUGCUGCCUGCCUCCCGAUCCCUUCUGUCAUUCAAUCCUUGCAACUCAGCCAGUGUCCCAGCUCUGCCUCUUUUACAGACUGGGAAAGUGAGGUGCAGAGAGGUGCCUGGACCAGUCCUGAGUCCAUGGAAGCCGGGACAUCUUUCCCAGAGGGCCCCAGGAAUCUUUCUGAAGGCCAGCCUUCCCCAUCAGACCCCUGCCUGGGUAAUAAGGGUUCUGUUGGGGGAGCAUGGCCCCCAGAAGACGGAGCUGGACUUCAGAGGAGGACAGCCACCUGCCUGAGGUCACACAGCCAGAUGACAGCAGAAUUCUGACUCAGAACCUGUGACUACAGAGGGGAAAACUGAGGCCCCAAGAGGGGAAGGGUCUUGUCCAAGGUCAUGCAGGCCCUGAUAGGGCCUAGAACCCCACCAAGGCUGGGCUAGUGCAGAAGCACCAGAAUCCCAGGCAGAGCCUUCCCACAGCCCUGGUGGGGGUGGGGGACUGCCUGGCAUUUCCUGUUUCUUUGGGCAGGACUUAGGGCAUGACCUGGGUGAGAAGAUGUGGGGAGACUUCCCGUGGCCCCUCUCUGCUCUCAGGCGAUAACUGGGACUGAGGGGCCAAGGAGGCGGUGGGGGGCAGAGGCUGGGAGUUCGAGUCCUGGCUUCCAGGCCUCCUCUCCCUCAUUGACCGUGUAUCUUUGUCCCCGCCCACCCCCACCCCCCCCACCCCAAAGUCUCUGCAGCCUUGGGUGGCCCCUUCUUACCAUCCAGUGCGUGGACUCAGACAAAGUCCCAGACCCUCAGGGAAGCACGAGGUCAUGACCUUGGAGAAUCACUUCCCCCUCUGAGCCUCAGUUUCCUCUUCUGUCAAGUGGAGUCAUCGUGAGAUGGGGAGAAAACUGACCUGAUGGCCGGACUUAGGAGCGAAUUAAGCAUGUAAACCACCAAUGGCAGAGCCUGGCACCCAAUAGGUGGACCCGGCUGUCGUGCAUCUCAACCCUCCCCGGUGCUGGCCCGCUGGCCGCAGCCUCUGCCCUUUCUCACGCUCUCGGGUACCCGGCCCCGGGGCCUUUGCUGCCGCACCCCAGCCUUGCUGGCUCACGAGCGCUGUUCUCCAACCUCACCAGCCGCUUCUGCUUCUCUGUUGCUCCAAGCUCACUCCUGCCUCAGGGCCUUUGCACCUACAGGUCUCUCUUCCCGGGUUCCCUUUCCCCAUGUUUUCCCUUCUUUAACAGAAAUGUUAUUUUUAGAUUCUAUCAUUAGAAUCUAAAACAAGACCUAGAAUAGUUUAGGCAUUUAAUAAAUAUUUGUCCCAUAAAUAAAUGAAUGAAUUUUGAUUUCUGAUCUAAUGUAAGAGUCCUUGUUUGUUUGUU